rfam:Chelonia mydas contig177868, whole genome shotgun sequence.
AGGGGAGUGGUCUAGUGGAUAGGGGGUUAGGUUGGGACACUGGAGAGCCAGGUUCAAUUCCUGGCUCUGCCA